rnacentral:rRNA from 1 species
AGUGAAAGACGGUUUUGCUGUCACUUAUAGAUGGACCCGCGCCGCAUUAGCUAGUUGGUGAGGUAACGGCUCACCAAGGCGACGAUGCGUAGCCGACCUGAGAGGGUGAUCGGCCACACUGGAACUGAGACACGGUCCAGACUCCUACGGGAGGCAGCAGUAGGGAAUCUUCCGCAAUGGACGAAAGUCUGACGGAGCAACGCCGCGUGAGUGAUGAAGGUCUUCGGAUCGUAAAGCUCUGUUGUUAGGGAAGAACAAAUGUGUAAGUAACUGUGCACAUCUUGACGGUACCUAACCAGAAAGCCACGGCUAACUACGUGCCAGCAGCCGCGGUAAUACGUAGGUGGCAAGCGUUAUCCGGAAUUAUUGGGCGUAAAGCGCGCGUAGGCGGUUUUUUAAGUCUGAUGUGAAAGCCCACGGCUCAACCGUGGAGGGUCAUUGGAAACUGGAAAACUUGAGUGCAGAAGAGGAAAGUGGAAUUCCAUGUGUAGCGGUGAAAUGCGCAGAGAUAUGGAGGAACACCAGUGGCGAAGGCGGCUUUCUGGUCUGCAACUGACGCUGAUGUGCGAAAGCGUGGGGAUCAAACAGGAUUAGAUACCCUGGUAGUCCACGCCGUAAACGAUGAGUGCUAAGUGUUAGGGGGUUUCCGCCCCUUAGUGCUGCAGCUAACGCAUUAAGCACUCCGCCUGGGGAGUACGGUCGCAAGACUGAAACUCAAAGGAAUUGACGGGGACCCGCACAAGCGGUGGAGCAUGUGGUUUAAUUCGAAGCAACGCGAAGAACCUUACCAAAUCUUGACAUCCUUUGACCGCUCUAGAGAUAGAGUUUUCCUCUUCGGAGGACAAAGUGACAGGUGGUGCAUGGUUGUCGUCAGCUCGUGUCGUGAGAUGUUGGGUUAAGUCCCGCAACGAGCGCAACCCUUAAGCUUAGUUGCCAUCAUUAAGUUGGGCACUCUAGGCUGACUGCCGGUGACAAACCGGAGGAAGGUGGGGAUGACGUCAAAUCAUCAUGCCCCUUAUGAUUUGGGCUACACACGUGCUACAAUGGACAAUACAAAGGGCAGCGAAACCG